rnacentral:rRNA from 1 species
GACGAACGCUGGCGGCGUGCCUAAUACAUGCAAGUAGAACGCUGAGGGCGGAGCUUGCUUCUCUGGAUGAGUUGCGCACGUGUGAGUAACGCGUAGGUAACCUGCCUGGUAGCGGGGGCUAUCUCUUGGAAACGGUAGCUAAUACCGCAUAAUCUUAGUUGUUGCAUGACAUUUUCUUAAAAGUUGCAAUUGCAUCACUACCAGAUGGACCUGCGUUGUAAUGGCUAGUUGGUGGUGUAACGGCUCAUCAAAGCGACGACCGAUAUGCGGCGUGAGAGGGGGGAGGGCCAAACUGGGAAUGGGGAACGGGCCACGACCCUACGGGAGGCAGCAGGAGGGAAUGUUCGGCAAUGGACGGAAGGCUGACCGAGCAACGACGGGGGAGGGAAGAAGGGUUUCGGAUCGGAAAGCUUUGUUGUAAGAGAAGAACGAGGGUGAGAGUGGAAAGUUCACACUGUGACGGUAUCUUACCAGAAAGGGACGGCUAACUACGUG